rnacentral:rRNA from 1 species
UACAGAGGUCUCAAGCGUUGUUCGGAUUCAUUGGGCGUAAAGGGUGCGUAGGUGGCGGGGUAAGUCAGGUGUGAAAUCUCGGAGCUCAACUCCGAAACUGCACUUGAUACUGCCUUGCUCGAGUACUGGAGAGGAGAUUGGAAUUUACGGUGUAGCAGUGAGAUGCGUAGAUAUCGUAAGGAAGACCAGUGGCGAAGGCGAAUCUCUGGACAGUUACUGACACUGAGGCACGAAGGCCAGGGGGAGCAAACGGG